AACGCGAAGAACCUUACCUGGCCUUGACAUGCAAAUAGUAGAAGGGUGAAAGCCUGACGAGGUAGCAAUACCAGUUUGCACAGGUGCUGCAUGGCUGUCGUCAGCUCGUGUCGUGAGAUGUUGGGUUAAGUCCCGCAACGAGCGCAACCCUUAUCCCCAGUUGCCAUCAUUAAGUUGGGCACUCUGGUGAAACCGCCUCGGAUAACGGGGAGGAAGGUGGGGAUGACGUCAAGUCCUCAUGGCCUUUAUGUCCAGGGCUACACACGUGCUACAAUGGCCGGUACAAACCGUCGCAAACCCGCGAGGGGGAGCUAAUCGGAAAAAGCCGGCCUCAGUUCGGAUCGCAGUCUGCAACUCGACUGCGUGAAGCUGGAAUCGCUAGUAAUCGCGGAUCAGAAUGCCGCGGUGAAUACGUUCCCGGGCCUUGUACACACCGCUCGCGA
rnacentral:rRNA from 1 species